UACGUAGGGUGCUAGCGUUAAUCGGAAUUAUUGGGCGUAAAGCGUGCGCAGGCGGCUCGUUAAGUUCGUUGUGAAAGCCCCGGGCUCAACCUGGGAACUGCAAUGGAAACUGCCGGGCUUGAAUGCGGCAGAGGGGGGUGGAAUUCCGCGUGUAGCAGUGAAAUGCGUAGAGAUGCGGAGGAACACCGAUGGCGAAGGCAGCCCGCUGGGCCGACAUUGACGCUCAGGCACGAAAGCGUGGGGAGCAAACAGG
rnacentral:rRNA from 1 species